rnacentral:rRNA from 1 species
GACGAACGCUGGCGGCGUGCUUAACACAUGCAAGUCGAACGGAAAGGCCCUGCUUUUGUGGGGUGCUCGAGUGGCGAACGGGUGAGUAACACGUGAGUAACCUGCCCUUGACUUUGGGAUAACUUCAGGAAACUGGGGCUAAUACCGGAUAGGAGCUCCUGCUGCAUGGUGGGGGUUGGAAAGUUUCGGCGGUUGGGGAUGGACUCGCGGCUUAUCAGCUUGUUGGUGGGGUAGUGGCUUACCAAGGCUUUGACGGGUAGCCGGCCUGAGAGGGUGACCGGCCACAUUGGGACUGAGAUACGGCCCAGACUCCUACGGGAGGCAGCAGUGGGGAAUAUUGCACAAUGGGCGGAAGCCUGAUGCAGCAACGCCGCGUGCGGGAUGACGGCCUUCGGGUUGCAAACCGCUUUCGCCUGUGACGAAGCGUAAGUGACGGUAAUGGGUAAAGAAGCACCGGCUAACUACGUG